AACGAACGCUGGCGGCAGGCCUAACACAUGCAAGUCGAACGCCGUAGCAAUACGGAGUGGCAGACGGGUGAGUAACACGUGGGAACGUACCCUUCGGUUCGGGAUAACUCACGGGAAACUUGAGCUAAUACCGGAUACGUCCGAGAGGAGAAAGAUUUAUCGCCGAGGGAUCGGCCCGCGUCUGAUUAGCUAGUUGGUGAGGUAAUGGCUCACCAAGGCGACGAUCAGUAGCUGGCUGAGAGGAUGAUCAGCAUCACUGGACUGAGACACGGCCCAGACUCCUACGGGAGGCAGCAGUGGGGAAUAUUGGACAAUGGGCGCAAGCCUGAUCCAGCCAUGCCGCGUGGAUGAUGAAGGCCUUAGGGUUGUAAAGUCCUUUCGGCGGGGAAGAUAAUG
rnacentral:rRNA from 1 species